rnacentral:piRNA from 1 species
UUCCAGUUCUAAGUAGCAUACGUCGAAGGAA